rnacentral:misc_RNA from 1 species
UCCGAGUUGACCCCGGCAGUCUCCCAUGAGUCCCCGACUAAAUGCUGGCAACAUGGAACGAGGGUUGCGCUCGUUGCGGGACUUAACCCAACACCUCACGGCACGAGCUGACGACGGCCAUGCAGCACCUUGCACCUUGCCCCGAAGGGAAACUCUGUCUCCAGAGCGGUCAAGGGCAUUCUAGCCCAGGUAAGGUUCCUCGCGUUGCAUCGAAUUAAGCCACAUGCUCCACCGCUUGCGCGGGCCCCCGUCAAUUCCUUUGAGUUUCAUCGUUGCCGACGUACUCCCCAGGUGGCAUACUUAAUGCGUUAACUGCAGCACCGGCCCCAAAGGGCCAACACCUAGUAUGCAUCGUUUACAGCGUGGACUAC